GCUGGGCGCUGUGGUGCACACCUAUAAUCCCAGUGACUUGGGAAGCUGAGGCAGGAGGAUCUCAAGUUCAAAGCUAGUCAGCAAUUUAGCAAGGUUCUGAGCAACUUAGUGAGACCCUGUCUCUA
rnacentral:sRNA from 1 species